GUCUUCGUGGCUCAGUUGGUUAGAGCGUUGGUCUCAUACUCGGUAUGAUUCUCUGGAUGACUAGAGAAAAAUCCAAUCCAAAGGUCGUGAGUUCGAGUCUCACCGAGGACA
rnacentral:tRNA from 1 species